rnacentral:rRNA from 1 species
AUUGAACGCUGGCGGCAUGCUUUACACAUGCAAGUCGAGCGGCAGCGCGGGGGCAACCCUGGCGGCGAGCGGCGAACGGGUGAGUAAUGCAUCGGAACGUAUCCUCGAGUGGGGGAUAACCCAGCGAAAGUUGGGCUAAUACCGCAUGAGCUCUGAGGAGGAAAGCGGGGGACCUGCGAGGGCCUCGCGCUGGAGGAGCGGCCGAUGUCCGAUUAGCUAGUUGGUGGGGUAAAGGCUUACCAAGGCGACGAUCGGUAGCUGGUCUGAGAGGAUGAUCAGCCACACUGGGACUGAGACACGGCCCAGACUCCUACGUGAGGCAGCAGUGGGGAAUUUUGGACAAUGGGGGCAACCCUGAUCCAGCCAUGCCGCGUGAGUGAAGAAGGCCUUCGGGUUGUAAAGCUCUUUCGGACGGAACGAAAUGGGCGGGACUAAUACUCCUGUCUGAUGACGGUACCGUAAGAAGAAGCACCGGCUAACUACGUG